rnacentral:lncRNA from 1 species
GAUAGACAACAACAUACAAAUCAUGAGAUAGUAAAAUUUAUUUAAAGUAAUUGAUAUGUUUUGUAGAUAUCUCAUGUAAAAAAAUCAACUUUUCCUUUUAGUAGAAAAAAUAUACAAAAUGGGUGUUGAUUACUAUGAUUGCAUAUUAUGACAUUAUAACAACAAUAAAACUGUGAUAUAUAUGAUAAAAUAUUUAUAGAUUUAAUGGAAUGAUUUGAACAUAUUUAAUAGUUUGCUAUAAAGGAUUUUUGUGUACAUUAUUGCUGUAUUCUUAACUCUGUAUUUCCUUUAAGGUAAUUGUUAUGGUAUGUCAGACACUGAAAAUGUAUAAUUCUUUCUACUGUUUCAGGUCAUGUAUAUAACUGAACUAAUGCCUAAUAAUGGACUAUGAUUACAUAGCGUCUAUUUCAAGUCUCAAACAAAAAACCUGAGAAUAAUAUUGUGAUAUGUACAUAGUAUUAUUUACAUCAUUAGAAAAUUGAUUAUGCAUUUAAACAGUACUACAUAUACUGUGUUACUAUCUAAAAAUAAUUCUUAAUAAAUAAUAAACCAACAACCCUGUAACAUAACUGUGUAAUACAGUACUGAUAGCUUCUCAAACAGACAAGUAUAUAUUUCAAAGUCUGAACCAUCAUAAUUUUGUUUCAAAAUAAUACUUUUAUUUGUAUUUAACAACAAAAAGGUUGAUUACUUGAUUUUUGUAUGCCUCAUGUCCAGUUGUUAUUAAAAAUAAUCCUUGGGGUUAAAAAUUUUUUUUACCUGUGGGAAAAUUUUACUUUAAUUAAGGUUUCAGUUAUAACACUUUUGAAAAAGAUAUCUUUUUAAAAUCAUGAAAGUACACAUCUCAGCAUAAUGCAUUUUAUAUGUGUGUCUAAAGAAAAUUUGAUUUCAAUCAUUCAUUCAAUUUUAUUUACCAUUAAAUGAUUGCAAAUCAAAUUAAAAUGCUUGUCAUACCUCUCUCCUCUUCAACUAAUAGUAAAUUAAUUUUAAGACAGAUCUAACAAUAACCUUUCGUCAUCCCCUUAUAUGUAAAUUUUGCUAACAAUAACUUUCUGCACCAUAAUUAUUAGAAAUCAGAUCUAAUAAUACAUGUUUGUCAUUUCAUUUAUAUAUAUAUAACAAUACAACAUAAACUUCAAUCUACUGUACAAUGAUUAUGUUAAGUACAGUCAACUCUAAAUAUCUCAAAAUUGAUGGCACUGACAAAAAUAUUUGAUAUAGCCGGAAUUUUAAGAAAUCCGGAUUGAAAAUAUCUCAAAUCUCUCUAUAAGAGCAGGCAUUGAAUUGGGAAAAAAAUGAGAUAAUAAGAGUCAACUGCAAAAACUACAUACAAAUAUGGCACAUUUGUAACACAACACAACAAUCAACUCUGACUGCAUGACAAUGGAAAAAGUAUUGCCUAAUAGUCAACAACAACAAACUUUGCAAAACAACAGAAUCAAAUAUCCUUGAAUAUACAUUUUUUCCUAAAUCCAUAGAAAUUGGUAUCAACAAAAAUAAAUGAAUUUUGAUGGUAAUUUAAAAUGGAAUGUAUGAAAUAGAAAAGACAUAAAAUUACAUGACUGUAAAUUGGACAAACAAAGGUUAAACAAAAUGACUGUUUAAAGAUAUAUACAUAUUGCUACAGAUUUGUAAACAAAACCUGACAUUUAAAAGUACAACAUUAAAAAUAUAUUUUAUAUACAAAAUUUACAUGAAAAUGUGUCUUCCAGGGAAGACAUACAACCUGCUGCAGUUAUUUGAGCCACAGACUCAGUGAAAGAUAGACUUUCAUUAUAGGAAUGUACAAAUAGAAAAAAAAAUUGAAGAUAAAAAAUGUAUCAGGAUUGAAUUUAAAAGAGUUUUAUCCAAAAAAAAAGACACUUUUUCUCUAUAGGAUAGUUUUACAUUUUAAGAAUAAGAAAUCUUAAGGGUUUAUUGAACGAUUAGAAAACAAGAAUGUAAUAAUUUUUUGUAAAAUAUUUACUCAUUUGGACAGAGAGGUGUUAUAACACUGCAGUAUUGCAGUAUUACAGAUGAAAGAUGUGAAAAAUCUGUUACGCCAGUAGGUAACAGAAAUAGGGUAUAGAUUUUACAAAUGAAUUGUGAAAUUUUCAUUUAAACUCACUUUUCAUAGUAAAAGAGGCUUGCAGUAGACAAAAUAACAUAAUGAUCAUCAAAAUAAAACAAUGAAUACUGAAAAGUGACUUUGAUAAAAUGUAAUUAAGACAGUUUUAUCAAGAUUUAAAAAAUAAAUCUAGAUUUGAGAAAUAUUUACAUGGUAAUAUACAUCUGAUUACAAGUUGUACUUCUAUUAAAACUUAAAUUAGAAUAUUUUUUUAUCUAUAAUUCUAAUUUUCCAAACACAAUCAGCACUGACCAAUACCAAAACAAACAAAAGUAAAACAAUAAAAUUCUAGUGAUCAACUUACUAAGUUAUCAACCAAAUAACUUCUUUACCAACUCCAAUUCAGAUAAUAUCGAACUAUAUAAAUUGAGCAUAUGUCAUUUCAAAUCUUUGAAAAAGAUUGGUCUUUAUCAUGGUUACAGUUGAAUUUGUUAAAAGAACAUAAAAUUUAACAGAAUUUACAAACAAAUAUUUGACACCUUAAGCUUUAUGAACUAAAGUAAAAUUACAUACUAACUUUGAUAGUAUAAUUAUGUACCGAAAAUGUAUAAAUUCAAGUUAAGAAUUUGGUUAUCAAGUUAUAUCAUAAAAUUAUAUUUUCCAUGGAAUGCCUGAAAUUAGAGUAUUUAUGGAAGCUUUUGAGCAGGGGUCGAAAUUAGCGCUAGUCCGGUAGUCCGGGACUAGUAAAAUUUGCGUAAGACCAGUAGAUUUUGUCAGCUGGUGGUCCAGCGGACCAGUAGAAAUUUGUCGAUAAAAAAUCACUGAUUGCAUCGCAAUCUCCGUUUGUUUACAAAACAAUUUACCUGUGAAAUCAAUUACGAGGUACUGGGGGGGUAUUACAAAUG